rnacentral:rRNA from 1 species
AACGCUGGCGGCGUGCUUAACACAUGCAAGUCGAACGAUGAUGCCCAGCUUGCUGGGCGGAUUAGUGGCGAACGGGUGAGUAAUACGUGAGUAACCUGCCCUUGACUCUGGGAUAAGCCUGGGAAACUGGGUCUAAUACUGGAUACUACUGUCCACCGCAUGGUGGGUGGUGGAAAGGGUUUUACUAGGUUUUGGAUGGGCUCACGGCCUAUCAGCUUGUUGGUGGGGUAAUGGCUCACCAAGGCGACGACGGGUAGCCGGCCUGAGAGGGUGACCGGCCACACUGGGACUGAGACACGGCCCAGACUCCUACGGGAGGCAGCAGUGGGGAAUAUUGCACAAUGGGCGGAAGCCUGAUGCAGCGACGCCGCGUGAGGGAUGACGGCCUUCGGGUUGUAAACCUCUUUCAGUAGGGAAGAAGCGAGAGUGACGGUACCUGCAGAAGAAGCGCCGGCUAACUACGUGCCAGCAGCCGCGGUAAUACGUAGGGCGCAAGCGUUGUCCGGAAUUAUUGGGCGUAAAGAGCUCGUAGGCGGUUUGUCGCGUCUGCUGUGAAAGCCCGGGGCUCAACCCCGGGUCUGCAGUGGGUACGGGCAGACUAGAGUGCAGUAGGGGAGACUGGAAUUCCUGGUGUAGCNGGUGAAAAUGCGCAAANAUCAAGGAGGAACACCGANGGGCAAAAGCAAGGUCUCUGGGCCUGNUUACUGGACNCNUAANGGAACCAAAACAAGGGGGAACCGAANANGGAAUUANAUUACCCNGGGUAGUNCNANGNCCGNAANANCGUUGGGCACUUAAGGGGGGGGGAAAA